GCGUAGGCGGAUUUUUAAGUCAGUGGUGAAAUCCUGCGGCUCAACCGUAGAACUGCCAUUGAAACUGAAGAUCUUGAGUACACCAGAGGUAAGCGGAAUGUGUAGUGUAGCGGUGAAAUGCUUAGAUAUUACACAGAACACCGAUUGCGAAGGCAGCUUACUAUAGUGUUACUGACGCUGAUGCACGAAAGCGUGGGGAGCGAACAGGAUUAGAUACCCUGGUAGUCCACGCCGUAAACGAUGAUAACUCGCUGUUGGCGAUACACAGUCAGCGGCUUAGCGAAAGCAUUAAGUUAUCCACCUGGGGAGUACGGUCGCAAGAUUGAAACUCAAAGGAAUUGACGGGGGCCCGCACAAGCGGAGGAACAUGUGGUUUAAUUCGAUGAUACGCGAGGAACCUUACCUGGGCUUAAAUGUAACAGGGUUAUAUUGGAAACAGUAUAUCCCUUCGGGGUCUGUUACAAGGUGCUGCAUGGUUGUCGUCAGCUCGUGCCGU
rnacentral:rRNA from 1 species